AUUUUGCUUUAAAUAACUAGCAGUUUUAUAAUGAAAAAGUUUUAUUUUUUGUUACCAGCACGCCUUUUCUCGAAGGGGUAGGCAGAGUCCACGGAUCUCCAGCUACAGAUCUGACAUACCUACUCUCAUCCUUAUGAAAUCCACCAUACUUGAGUUCAUUUCACCUAUCACAUCUCUAGUAUCUCCUGGAUUUGGUCAACCUGACUUCACAAUCAAAAUAUUAUUAAUAUCUUCACGUCUCUUUCUCAAAGACAGGCUGAGACCAUAGACCUCCACUUGCCCCCCCCUCGCUUCCUCGCUUUAUCGACUUUCAUGACAUCUAUGAUUCUUAUAGGAACUUUGACUUGAACGUUAUUUCUCUGCCUCACCAAUUCAUCAUUCAUGGGUUUUAUAGUGACUCAUAAAAGAGAUAGGGUCAAUAGAGUCAAGUAAAAGACGAAUUGCUUCUCUUCUUUCUUUAGUAUUGCUUGAUAAUUGCAUGAUAUUAAUAAAUAUACUUACUGUUUACGCAUCUGUGGAUGGGAAAAGGUCGAAAUAACGCGUUUGACUUCCGAAACGUCGAUAAAAAUCUCCAGCUAUGAAGUGCACCAAGUGGAGGAGAAAAGUUAAUUUUUAUGCUUACUUAAUUGAUAGAAGGUUAGAAAACACCAGUAUGUUUCGCCAAGUAUUAUAUAUACAAGUAUAGAAUAUGCAGAUAUGAAACGUUCAAAUAUAACAAUGAACAAUAUAUUAUGUAUCUUAUAAUUAAAAAGAUAUUCUUAAUUUAAAUUGUCGUAGGGAAAUAAUUUUAUAAUUUAAAAUGUGUGCGAAUGUCAUGUGGAAAUAAGAUGUUAAUUUUACAAACAUUAUGUAUAAAAAUGGCACGGGAAAUAAAUUCUUAUUUAAAAAUGCCUUGUCGGGGAAAUGAAUUAUUAUUAUAACAUGUUUUAUCGGGAAAAUGAAUUCUUAAUUUAAAUUGUACACUAUAAUCUUUGACUCAACUUUUCCCGCCGAUUUUGAGUUGUCACUCGUGCUUGUAUUCUGUGCUCUUGUAGUUUUAUAUUCUAUUUAAGUUUGAUGCUCAAACAUCGGUGUACUGCAACUUUAUUGUAUAUUGGAAUCUCAUUUACGAUGUUUCUCUUUUAAUCUGUGAUUUUUUUAAUUAUUUCUCUUUAUAUUGGAAUUUUCGAUCUGAUUUUCUUAUUUUUAAUUUAGCUUCGUACUUAGGCUUCCUUAUUGAUUUAUAUUAAGAUUAAUUUGUACAAAUAAUUUUAAGCGUAAUUCAUGUAUUUACCGCGCAUUUUUAAUUUUGACACAUGUUAAACGUCAUUGUAGUCUUAUGUCACGAUUUAAAUGCCAAAUAUGGCAUUUUCACCUGGUUUUCAGUAGAGCAGCUACGCAUAGAUAUAGUGAGUGCGCAGAGGUGUCAAGUGCUAGAUUUACUCAUGUAAUCAUUGCCAAUGUACACUAGUUGUAUAUUUAUUUUUAUUUUGAAAUAUACGACGCCAAAUUUAUUUAAAUUAUUAAAAUGGUUUUUAUUCGCGAAGUUCAAAGUUUUUGAAAGUACUAUAACUUUUUUUAAUCAUUUAAGUGUAUAGUUUAUUAUAUAAGAAGCGACUUAUAUAGCGAACAUAUAUAGCGAUAUGUGUUUCAGGAAUAUGAAUUUUUUUAUACAUUAUUUGAAAAAAAAUGUGUUUUUCUAACUAAUAUCGUAGGAAUGAGGAGGAUCUAUGAACUGUUAUAUUGAUGUCUCUUUCCGUUUUGCCUCAGACGAUAAAGACGAUAAAUGCCCCAUUUUCACUGUAUCUAUAUCGUUUAAAAUAAUUAUAUAAAAAUUUGUGUGAAAUGUCGAACUUGCUUGCUUGUGGCAGUUUUAAAUUAGAACGUCAAAUCAAGUGUUAAUACUGCCGAUAAAACAUCAUUCCCGCCUCUCAACUAGCUUAAUUUUAACAAAACAGAUCUAUGGAGAUUUUGACAUGUCAAAUUAAUUUUUCCGCCAAUUCAAACUGACAGUUAGGAAAUGUUGUUGAAUAUCACAGACUAUUUCUUAUAGAUAAUAUAAUCAUGGUUAAUAAUAGCUAGAUGUGUUCUUUUAUGAGAUUUAUACUGUGUUUUACAAUAAUUUGUAAUGACGCCAUCUAGCGGCGGUACUAAUACAUAUAAUAUCGUCUGCUAUGUGACUAAAAUUAGAUUAAAAGUCUUGUAAUGGAAAGGGAGUUCUAAUUUUAUACACAAUUUUGUGUUUUUAGACGUAUUUAAUUUUAAAAAAUAUUUUCCGAAUUAAUUUAGAAAUGAAUUUUUGCGGUGGUUGUUGGUAUCCUUUAACAAAUAUAUUAAAAUUCGUGCUUUGAUGAUGAUGAUGAUGAUAUUACUUUAUCCAUAUUGGAAAGGCAUGUGCUUUGAGACAGUAAUAUUUACAUAAAAUUGUGGUCCUAUUAUUUAAGAAAAAAUCUCUGACAUUGACGUUACAAGGCAAAAUGCUAAGUUCUAUCCGCACAGACAUCGCUUGCCCCGGAGAACAAAAUCGUUAAGCACUAGUACGCCCGUUCUAAUGUUUUAUAAUUGUUUGAAAGUGAAUUGUGUCGCGCUUAAGAAAGUGAAUGCGACACUUUUUAAAACAAAGAGUGGUAAUACAUUAUUACGUUCCUGACAUUGUCAAAAUUACCGUCGUAAUGUGCGGUUGAAACAAUCGUAAUAAAUUACUGAAGUGUACAUUUAGUUCUAUUUACACUAAAUACAUAAAAUGUUUAAAUUGUCGAAUGGGAAAUAGCUUUCAAAUGAUAUACAUAUUUGUAUAUGUAAUGUACUUAGUAUCCUAAAAUAACACUUUUUAUUUUCCUGUAAAAUAUAUUUAACUUUUACUGUUUCCCCGGGGCAAGCGAUAUAUAUUUUAUUAUAUAAUUAAACCUUCAGUGAACACAGUAUAAAUCCGAAGCGUGUGUUAACAAAUUGUUGUUAUUUAUUGAAUAAUGUACAAAUUUUUGUAUUCUCGUUGUUUGCUAGUGUCAUGUAAGAAUUCGUACUUAUCUGUGUAUAUCUUGAGAGAUUAAAUGUGUAUUGGAAA